CCUACGGGAGGCAGCAGUGAGGAAUAUUGGUCAAUGGGCGCGAGCCUGAACCAGCCAAGUCGCGUGAGGGAAGACGGUCCUAUGGAUUGUAAACCUCUUUUGUCGGGGAGCAAAAGACGCCACGCGUGGCGUUCCGAGAGUACCCGAAGAAAAAGCAUCGGCGAACUCCGUGCCCGCAGCCGAGGUAAUACGGAGGAUGCGAGCGUUAUCCGGAUUUAUUGGGUUUAAAGGGUGCGCAGGCGGAAGAUCAAGUCAGCGGUAAAAUUGAGAGGCUCAACCUCUUCGAGCCAUUGAAACUGGUUUUCUUGAGUGAGUGAGAAGUAUGCGGAAUGCGUGGUGUAGCGGUGAAAUGCAUAGAUAUCACGCAGAACUCCGAUUGCGAAGGCAGCAUACCGGCGCUCAACUGACGCUCAUGCACGAAAGUGUGGGUAUCGAACAGGAUUAGAUACCCUUGUAGUC
rnacentral:rRNA from 1 species